AUUGAACGCUGGCGGCAGGCCUAACACAUGCAAGUCGAACGAGUGGCGGACGGGUGAGUAAUGUCUGGGAAACUGCCUGAUGGAGGGGGAUAACUACUGGAAACGGUAGCUAAAACCGCAUACCAUCAGAUUUGCCCAGAUGGGAUUAGCUUGUUGGUGGGGUAUAGGCUCACCAAGGCGACGAUCCCUAGCUGGUCUGAGAGGAUGACCAGCCACACGGGAACUGAGCUACGGUCCAGACUCCUACGGGAGGCAGCAGUGGGGAAUAUUGCACAAGGGGAGCAAGCCUGAGGCAGCCAGGCAGCGUGUAUGAAGAAGGCCGUCGGGUUGUAAAGUACUUUCAGCGGGGAUGCGUUACCCGCAGAAGAAGAACCGGCUAACUCCGUGCCAGCAGCCGCGGUAAUAC
rnacentral:rRNA from 1 species